GGCCCCUUCGACUAGCGGUUAGGUCACCACCCUUUCAAGGUGGCGGCACGGGUUCGAAUCCCGUAGGGGUCACCA
rnacentral:tRNA from 4 species